UCCGGUAUGGUUUAACGGCUGGCAUUGCCGCCUUUCAGCUUUAUCUUUCCUUGAACAUCCGCGGCAGCUCAGGGUUCGAUUCCCCGUACCGGAA